UCGAGGUGGCAAAGGGGUGUUUGUGAAGGGUCUUUUCCUUCAUUCUACAAACCAUCUCUCCAGUAGUCUACAGUCAGCAAUCUUCCUGGAUGCCCAAGUUUCCUGGAAAAAAACAAGACAUCCUCUGCUGAGCUUUCAUCAAGUAACCAUCAGGAGAGCUGUCGAGCGACUUUAGUGUGGAAGAAACUGCUAAUGUUUAGAAACCAGGAGACACACGAUGCCAUUUCACUGCUGAAGCUAAGCAGAUGGAGACCAACUGGGAACCAUGUGUAAACUGCUCUUAGUUCUUCAGAGGAAGAACAAGGCAGAGGUACUGAAUGAGAGGUACAUAUGCAUUCAACAUGGUGAGCAAAUCUUCCAACUGGCUUUGUCGAUCUGUAAAUGCUAAAGGAAGCAAGAGAAAGAAGAAGAAUUAAAAUUGGCUUCCUUGUUUUAGGUCAGGGCUAAAGAUGGGUCUUUGGUCAGAGAAGGUUGAAAAUAAUUGUUGUGACCUUUCUUUGUUUUGUGUUUUGUUCACUUCCAAGCCAUACAUCUACACUGCAUAAUUUCAUUUCUCACCAGAACUUAAAACUCACUCCCCCCUGGCAUCUCCUGCAAUGUUUACUUAAAAUAAUAGAAUUAGGAGAAUUAGAUGGACAAAAAAACCCUGCAAAAUUCUUCAGAUCUUAUUGAAAUGUUUCCUCCCUCAUAAUUUCCAUGGGUUUUCUUUGGGCAAAAUUCAGAUGCCAAGUUGACACACCUGUGGGAAAUGUUGCAUAUCUUGAAAUUGUUCUCCCCCCCCAAAAAAAACAAUAGUGACUGGUAAGGGAGGACUAAUACCUUAAGAUAUUAUUUGACCACUGAUAACAUUCAGAGUUAAAGGUUCAUUUGAACAAGCUCUGUAAAGAUUAUGGAGUGGAGGGACAUAAACACAUGAUUCAAUUUAACGGAUGGUUACUUUUUUUUACUUUGCUACCUCUCUAGUAUAUUACCCAUACCUUUAAGUUGAUAUACUUUGUCUCCACUGUGUUAUUUAGUCACCUAUAGCAACAUCAAGUAGGGCUUCAAACAUUAAUCAGUAUAACUGGUAAUUAACAGUAAUAAGUGACAAUAAGUGAGGGCAAAUUUUAACCAGGGAGACUGGUUAAGGCAUGCUUUUUACAGGUUGUUUGGUGCUAGUCUGGCAUUUUAACAGGGAAUGAAAAGAAACUGAGGUCAGUCCUUUUGUUGUGGGCCAGCUGUCCUUAUAGAAUAGCGAUUAGAGAUAGGUUUUUCCAUCAGAGUUUUACAUGUUUUAAGAAAAACCCUCAGAGUUUAAAGAGGCCACUUGUUUCAUUUUUUCCCCUCCUCCAGUUUGACUGCACAUUUUUUCCAUUCAGUUUUGGGAAGUCAGGCAAGGUCCCAAGCUUGUACCAUAAACAGAGAUAAACAUUCCAUAUAUGGCUAUUCCUACUUCAGUCCAUUUUAUGGCUUUUCCUGUUGCCAACUGAAGCCUGACUGAUGUCUCUAAUACUAGAAUGACAUAGCUCUGUGUGAAUAUAGAGAUAGCCAGAGUGAUAAGUGUGAGAAAUUCCCAGGGUAACGUGUCAUUUGUUCUUCAUAAUGUGUCAUUCCCUGUCAUUUGUACUUCAUUCAUCCUAUAAAAGGUGUGUGUUAAGACCCCUAAUAUACAAGACUUUUUGGAUAUGGCCCCUCACCUUUCAGUAGGCCAGUCCUUUGAACAUGGACUGUUUUGACAAUUACUGCUGGAAAGUUCAAGGCUUGCUUUGCCUUGGAACUUAGUAGGCAAGGAAGUAUUCAUUCUUUUCCAGUUUUGGAUACUUUGAUUUUACAGGAUGUCUGGUCUUAUAUGAUUAUAUCAUUAUAUAACAGUAUGCUU